UGUGAUCCCUGCCUGGCCUCAUGUCCUGCAGCACUGAUAUCUGUCAGCACAGCACUGUGUCUGCAAGUGUGAAGGACCCAUCUUUGCCAACAGAGAGAGAAAAACUGCACGGUCAUCUUCUUUGCUUGACCUGAGGCUCCCCAGGGAGGCGGUGCGGUCACCUUCCCCGGAGGUGUUCAAGUCAUUUGUAGAUGUGGCACCGAGUGACGUGGUUUGUGAGAUGGCAGCCCGUCCGACCUGCAGGACCCAGCCCCAGUCCCUGCAGGAGCUGAGAUGCAGCAUCCUCCUGCCAGAGUGCAUCGGUGCAUGGCCUGUCCGCGGUGGAGAUUCCCCAGAUCUUAGGCAAUUCUCGUCCUCCUGUGGUCUG
ensembl:lncRNA